UCUGACAAAACAGGACAGAAUAUUUGAAAUCAGGGAUGUCUCGGGAAACUCUCUAAAUUGGUUCUUGUCCCUGGCCUGGUCGUCCAGGGUCGCGGAGGGCUGCACACACACUACUUGGGACUUCAGAGCCCAGUGACGUAGAGGUCGGUGGAGCUGGAUGGGAGAGGGCGGGGCUCUGAAGGCUUGGCCCCACCCCCAGGCUCUCCCAACUAUGACGGUUGGAGGCAGUUAUGGGUGUGGCUAGAGGCUGAUUGACACUCUCUAACCCCACCUCCGCUUCAGCACCGGUGAUUGGAGGCAGCGAGAGGAGUGGUGUGGGCGGCUUGACCUAACUUACACCCCGAACUGGGAUGAUGCAGUGAGGGGCGUGGCGCAGCAGGUCACAAGCUGGAAGGCAGCAGCCUUGGCACCACUGUUAGAGGUCAUGGUAGCACACAGAGCCGCAGAGCGGAGUGGACUAAUGAACGUCUUUCCUGUUGGUGUGACACUGCUGUCACCGUCUGCGUUCAAGAGCACCAACAGCCUUCUGAUGUCCAAACUGUGGCGGGCGAGCUGCUGAGCUGCAGAUGAAACCCUUCUGUUAAAACUGAGCCCAGGUCAGUUGGAGGUAGUUGAUGUCCUGGUUUAGCAGUUGAGUAUAACACAUUAAAUCUUCCUGUUGUGGUCUUCCAACCACAUAGUCCAUAACUGCAAGAGCCACCUUUACAACAAGAUUUGUGUGUCUAGAGCUGAGUUGAGCAUCGGCGGGGGCUAUGGUGCUGGUUUUCCUGUGGCUAGAACUACAUCCCCACAGUUAGCAGUAUGAAAGGGUCCAAUACAGCUCUGAGCUUCAUGUACAGUUGAGAAAAGUCCACAAAAAGGAUAUUGUUAGUGUUGAUACAACACCUCCCUUAGUCAUGGGAAUGACUCUUGCAAGUUGUUCAAGGAUAGUCAAGCAAGGAGCCAGCAGCCUUAGCUAGAGAAGGGAUGCAAUGAUGCUGUCUCCAAGAUUGUAUUUAGUGCUAAUGACUGUUAGAAGGCACUGUGUUAUGAAGAUCAGUUAUGUUAGAAGGCACUGUGUUAUGAAGCCAGGGAGACCUCAUCAGUGCUUGCCUCCCCUUCCAAGGCUGACUCAACCUGGUUGGGAACAGCAGCCUUGAUGGCACUCACUAGGUACUCAAUAAAUAUUUGUAGAAUGCAUGAAUGAAAAGGCUCUUGUCUUCUGUACCCUCAGCCUGGGCAGCCUCCGUCACUGGGUAGCUUUAAGUUGUGUGGCUGCUUUCUCUUGCCAGGCUGAGCUGCAGAGGUCAGAGACCCAGAAGGGACCUUGAGCUCUUGGGGAAACUGGAGUCAGAGCAGGCAGGUUUUAGGAAACAACCUUCAGAGUGGGGCAGAAGGAGCUAGAUCAGCGGAGCUGCAGAGGCGGGGUGGGGUGGGGGGCGGGGAGGCUUGAGAAAGAGAUGAGACAUCUGUGUGCAGUGGUAGUGUGGAAGCAGAGUUUGAAGGCCACUGUAAAGGACCCAUUGUCAGGUCCCCAUAUGCAGGGGCACAUUUACGCACCCCAGUGUUGGGGUGCAUAGGACCCAGAGCAGCUUUUGUUGUGUUUGGGUGGGAUAUUUAAACAGAAUCAAAAAUCCUGAAGAGCCAUUCCACUUCAGAGACUUUAUUCCACAGAAAUGCUGCUCUAACCGCGCAGCUCCAGGGGCAAGGAAGUCAUAGCAGCCUUAAGAAACUGAGCUGCAGUGGUGGGAAAGUCUGGGCAUGAUGUACCUAUACGGUGAAGUGCAAUGCAGUCUUGAUGGAGUGAUAAGGCGGGUAUCAACCUACACGGAACUUUUCAGACAAGAAGAUUGAAACAGACCACAGAACAACACACACAGCAGCGCCCCCCCCCCCCCCCCCCGUGUCUGUGCAUAGGGGAAACGACCCCCCUGCCUGGGUGCUUCUCCCUCCCAGAGAAUGGAAUUUAGGGUAGCAGAAGAGGGACUCACACUCUGGACUCCCCUUAAAUGCUGGGAUGAGCACAUGCCGCCUUGGUGAUAAAAAGGAAAAGGGAAAGUUGUAGGAUGGAGCACUGGAGAGAAGAGCUGAGCUCAGCGGCCGGCUGGGGCUCGGACUCCAGGCGAGCCUGGUGGGAUGACAGCGCCAGUGAGCAGGCCUUCUCCAGACGGCAAAGCCCUUGCAGAAGUUUCCCGGCAGAAGGUGUUUUUGAAAGAAGUGUUAGCUGAAGGAAGAGGUCUGGUGGGGAGGUUUGAAUCUAAUGGAAGACAGGCUAAGCCCAGGAAGGCUUGGACACAGGCGACAGGCAGGCUAAGCCUAGGGAGGCUUGGACACAGACAGCAUGGAAGCGUACAGAGUAGAGGCCGCUUGGCUGGAGGCAGAAGAAUUUUCCAUGAAAAAGGAUGGAGCGUGUUGUGGGAGGGGUGUGGGCAGAUGAGCGGGAGUGCUCACAGGGACGGCCUGGAUAGUUGUGACCGGGCAGCUGUGGCCAAUUGGAAGGAGUUCAAGAAAGGAGUGGAGGGUUCCAGUGAUUGGUGAUACCUGAGAUGGGAAAAAGAGGCAUCAAGCGCUCAACUGACCCCUACAGAAGCGCUCGGUGCGGACUACAGAGGAGUCCACGGUGGAAUACUCCAGAAGUGCUGCAUCUUUUAGCAGGACUGGAAACAGCUGAGGUCCGUCUGCUCCCAGGCCGUAGAUGGGACAGGCAAGGCCGGCAGGCAGCUUGAACAUGGUGGAAACCUGAUAUACAGCUCUUGGGAAAGUUUCUCACGCAGAUUUGUCUGUCGGGAUGGGGCUGCAAAAGUAGGGGCAAGGUCAAAUGUCUGGGUUGUGCCUAGGUAGGGUGCAAUGGGUAUUAAAGCAAUGAGUCUAGA